rnacentral:tRNA from 2 species
GGGUCGGUAGCUCAGUUGGUUAGAGCAGCGGACUUUUAAUCCGUUGGUCGCGAGUUCGAGUCUCGCCCGACCCACCA